rnacentral:tRNA from 1 species
AGGAUAAUAGUUAAUUAUAACAUUUAAUUUGCAUUUAAAAAGUAUUGUUUCAAACAAUUUAUCUUA